CCCCUGACUGAAGAGUUUGAUCCUGGCUCAGGACGAACGCUGGCGGCGUGCUUAACACAUGCAAGUCNAACNGGGUGUUUAUUUCGGUAAACACCANGUGGCGAACGGGUGAGUAACGCGUAAGCAAUCUACCUUCAAGAUGGGGACAACACUUCGAAAGGGGUGCUAAUACCGAAUGAAUGAUAGAUGACCGCAUGGAUAUUUCUCUAAAGGANGCCUCUGAAAAUGCUUCCGCUUGAAGAUGAGCUUGCGUCUGAUU
rnacentral:rRNA from 1 species